GACGAACGCUGGCGGCGUGCUUAACACAUGCAAGUCGAACGGAGAACGCGGGCGCUUGCUCCCUCCGGAACAGUGGCACACGGGUGUGUCACACGUGUGCCCUCUGCUCCGCACUCUGGGAUCUGCGUUGGAAUCGACGUCUAAUCGCGUAUGAGCUGCGGCUGGGUAUCCUCUCUGCGUGGGAUGCGCCUCGGUUGGGGAUGGGCUCGCGGCCUAUCAGCUUGUUGGUGGGGUAAUGGCUCACCAAGGCGACGACGGGUAGCCGGCCUGAGAGGGUGACCGGCCACACUGGGACUGAGAUACGGCCCAGACUCCUACGGGAGGCAGCAGUGGGGAAUAUUGCACAAUGGGCGCAAGCCUGAUGCAGCAACGCCGCGUGAGGGAUGACGGCCUUCGGGUUGUAAACCGCUUUUGGCAGGGAAGAAGCGAAAGUGACGGUAACGGCAGAAAAAGCACCGGCUAACUACGUG
rnacentral:rRNA from 1 species